AAGAGUAAAGUACUUCCGCUUCCUUAGGUGGAGCUGGAAAGGUGGAGGCGGAAGUGACUGAUCAAUUCAGGGGCGUGGGGUUCGUUUAGGUUUUGCCCUGUGUAUGACCUCGUUUGGAGCCAUGAAACCAGGUGGCUUUUCUACAAUAUAAAGAUGGAAAUGGGAAGAAGAUGUUCAUUGCAAAUUAAGGAAGCUCUUCCACGAGUUCACGAAUGGAAAUAACAUCAAGAGUUUUUCAUCUUCUUAGUGUGCAAGGUAUGGAUAUUCUGUGUGUGAACUUCAAGAGUAUCUAAGGGAGGCAAUAACAUGGUUGAUAAUAUACCAGAGACUACAAACUGUCUGUGCAUCCCAGAGGAACAGGAAGCUUGUGCAGGUGAAAAGACUGGAGGAGGAAGUAUGUUGAUGAUACCCAGGAAGCCCACCUUCCACUUCUUUGGUCAUCAGAAGUAAGAAAAAGGACAAUUAAAUAAGUGGUUAAUAGUUGUUUAGAGAAAGAGAAUUUUCACUUUAUAUGCCAGUCAUUGAUAAUAUUUGCCAUAGUGGUUGCUGUUAAGUAAGUUUCUUCCUGCAGGCCUGUGAGAAGGCAUAGUACAUGAAAGUAGCAGUGCUUUCAACCUGAUUAUUAUUAUACAGUAUGGACUUUUAUUAUAUAACAAGCAAUACUUACAUUUUGUUAUUUACUUAUUUAUUACUAUACACUUACACAUAUGCAGACACAGUAAUAAACAUCUAAGUGGUACAAAUAGGUACAAAACCAAAAAUAAAAGUCUGCCUUCUAACUUC
rnacentral:lncRNA from 10 species